UCCUACGGGAGGCAGCAGUGGGGAAUAUUGCACAAUGGGGGAAACCCUGAUGCAGCGAUGCCGCGUGGAGGAAGAAGGUUUUCGGAUUGUAAACUCCUUUUAUCAGGGACGAUAAUGACGGUACCUGAAGAAAAAGCUCCGGCUAACUACGUGCCAGCAGCCGCGGUAAUACGUAGGGAGCGAGCGUUGUCCGGAAUUACUGGGUGUAAAGGGAGCGUAGGCGGGACGGCAAGUCAGAUGUGAAAGUCCGCGGCUCAACCGUGGAAUUGCAGUUGAAACUGGAGGCCUUGAGUGCACACAGGGAG
rnacentral:rRNA from 1 species